rnacentral:pre_miRNA from 1 species
AUAUUAUUUUUUCCGUCCAGAAAUACCUGCCUAGAAAUGGUUGUAUCUAGACUUAUUUUAGUUAGAGAUACAUCCAUUUUAUCCAUUUCUAGGACAAGUAUUUUCGGACGGAGGGAGUAUAUC